AAGUCAUAACAAGGUUUCUGUAGGUGAACCUGCAGAGGGAUCAUUAUUGAAUUGUAAAAAUUGGGGAGUUUCGACUCCUCUACAUUCUUUAUUCCUUUAAACACCUGUGAAUCGUUGCUGAGUUUGCUCAGUGGCACAUCUUUUUUCAUACACACUUUAUAGUUUAGAACGUAAAAAAAUAAAAUAAAAAUACAA
rnacentral:misc_RNA from 1 species